rnacentral:lncRNA from 1 species
GUUCCAUCCAUGUAAUAGUAGUAUUAGUAUAUGAUCACUAACAUUGUUAACAAUCCAUUAAAACACUGUGAAAUGGUAUUUUUGACAUGACAAUGUUCCUUUCCCCCUGUUCCCAUCGAUUCCAAAAGUAUAUGUGAAUGGGAAUGCUUAUUGCACAAAAGCUUGCUUCAGGCAAAGGACCUUCGAGAAGCAUUGGUCAUCAAACUAAAGCUCAUCUUCAUGCCUUCUGUGGCCAUCAGGUCUGUUUCAUUUUCCCAAUUCCAUAAACUAGUGAAUCUAUGCAUUUUGGUUUCCUUUGAGCUCUUUUGUUCGAUUCUCAGUUUCAUUUAUCUAGAUGCUUCAGAUUUAAAAUAAUCUAGUGUUUGAAUGAUUCAUUUAUGUGAAAUAAUUGUGUCUUUUACUACCACUAUACUGACAUGAAGGGUAUCCACAAUUUGAUUGCUAUUACAUUUACAUGUACAUUAGUUUGGUUUUAACAAGAUAUAUGUAUCAAAUUAGAAAAGUAGAAAAUGAUGCUAAGAAUCUCCUUUAGAAAGUGGUCUUCUGUUGCCUGUUUUGUUUAUUUUAUGGUUAAUUCAGUUUCAUACUAUAAAGAACACAAAAUGCUUUGAUUCAAACAAAAACUUAUUAAAGAGACCACAUGUUCAUUAGGUUAAGGAGUGUCCCACAAAUAGAAGCUACACACACCCAUACAAUAGACCACCAGGCGUAGUAGCAAAUUUUUCGAAAUUUAUAUAGCAAUAAUAUUUUGAUGAUGCAGUUGCAUAAAAACAAAAAUUAAUAGGUUAUUUAUGAAAAGAAACAAACAACUUUCACGGCAUAAACAUUCAAUUUGGUAAGCAAAUGAGGAAUUAUUGUCAUGUUUCUCCCUACUUAAAACAAUAAACCAGCAAAGAUAUAACAACAUAUGAUUUUACUUAAACGUACACACUACAUUGCCCUCAACAAACUAACAAUCCCUUAGACAUUGAACUUUUUCCCCUUCGAUAUAUGUUUUGGCCAUUGUCAGCACAUUUUUCCCGUGAUGAUGACUAUGAAGCUCUUUGUGAUAGGAAUUAAUGAGAUUAGAAAGUUCUUUACGCAGACGGCCCUGCAAUUAGAAGAACAAGAGGGAAAAAAAGGAUUAAGCAAAAAAAUUGUAACAAUUUUAACAGAAACAUGAUCUGAAUCAAAACAUCAAUGAUCUGAGAGAAAGCAAGUUAAACCUGAAUGUAUUGUAGUGCUCUCUGAACAACAUAAUUCCCAAAGGAAUCCUGAAGAACAUUCAAGAAAUUAUGGCUUCUCAUUAUCUCCUCAACUAUAACUUGAACAUCAUUCUGGUUAGAAACUCUCAAUAAAUCUUCUACUACAUUGCUGGCAUACUUGUUCAUAGAAAGUCUAACAAACUUGCCACCAAGCUCUUUUAUUAUCCGUUCAUUUGCUGACGGAAACUUCAACUUAAUUGCAACUUGCAACACAUAGUUUCUUGAGACAUGAAAAAAAUAUCAAUUAUCAGAUACUAGUUUUAAAAUGAAGGAACAUUCAAACUCGAAGAAAUAUACCAUACUUAAAAUUUGAAAUUCCUUAAUUUGAAGGAAAACUAUUGAAGGAUACGAAUAAAACUCAAUCUUUCAGUGGUAUGUGAUGUGAUGAGUUAUUCCAUCUUACUAUUUUAUUUAAAAAGAAUUGCUUAAAUUGAAUGCUUAGUUGCUUACCAAAAGAUAAAUGUAAUGCCUCUUCUAUUAAGAUUGUGCUUAAGAUUAAGUUUAUGAUAAUGUACUUUUAGUCUAUAAAAUAAAAAUAAAAAUACCAACAAAAAAUAAUUAGGUUUAAAUGUAUUUUUGGUUACCUAUUUUAAAAAAAGUUUUGGUCCCUCAAUUUUUAAAACGGUUUUUUGGUCCCCCAAUUUAACUUUUUCAAAAUUUUGGUUCACAAUCUCAUUUUUAAAUAAUUUUUUAUGAUGUGUUUUAUUCAUUUAUGACGUGUCAAUAUACACCGAAUAUCUAUGUCAACAAAAAUAGGCUUAUGCUUAAAAAAAAACAAAAAUAGGCCUACUAACUAAGCAUUGCCAUGUUAAAAAUAAAUACGCAACGAAUAAUACUAGCAACACACUCUUUAACAAACACACUCCAACACACUCUUUUUUAUUGGUUGAAAUUCACAUGGGUCCCAUAAAAAAAUGUGGACCCAUAUAACUUUUAUGGGACCCAUAUAAAUUUUAACCAAUAGAAGAGAGUGUGUUAAAGUGUGUUUGUUAAAGAGUGUGUUGCUAGCACUCCUCAUAGGCAACAUCAUAAAAAAUAAAAAAUAAGAUGAAGGACCAAGAUUCCAAAAAAAAAAUUCCGGCAAACAAAAAACCGGUUUUUAAAAUAGGGAGACAUAAAUUUCAUUUAAAAAAAAAUAAGAGGAUCAAAAAGUGUAUUUAAGUCAAAUAAUUACUACUAAAACUAAGCUAAUAUAGAUAAUGUGAGAUAUCAAUGCACUUUGAAAUAUGAGAUGCAAAUAUACUACAAACAAACAGAUGUAUUGUUAAGAACUUCAAAAGGAAAAAUAGUUCAAGAGUUUGGAAAUCAUACCCAUAUGGAUCUUCUGCUAGGACCAUGGCACUUGAGAUGAUUUCGGUUACCAAUAGAGCUGUGGCAAUUAUAUCACCUUCUCUAAGGCAUUUUUGAAUAACUUUAGUUCCAGUUUUGUUUGUUGCAAUAUCAACACAAUUUCUUGCUACUUCAUUCAAGAUAAUCUGAAAGAAAUUUUUCAAUUAAUUGAUGAUUUUUUUUUGUCUUAUUCAUGUUUACGUUCUUAACCACUCAGCAUAACAAUAUUAAGAUGAAAUCAAAUUAAAGCACAUAGGUCAUCCAUCAUAUCUGAUAUAGUCAUUCAAAUUAAAUGUGAGAAUUUCAAACAGGACAACUUGGCCAAGAUGAAUUAGAAAUACAAUAAAAAACAAUUAUAAAUAACUUAGAGGGUAUCAUCUAAUUUGAAUUUUCAAUCUCUCCUUAUAGAAAAACAUUAAUAGAUGAUCAAAGUUUAUAUCUAUAGCAUAAAAAAUGUGAAGUAUUGCAAGAUCUUACUCAAAAAGUAUUAUAAGCAUUAAGCAAUAAAGUCAAAAGGAGAACAACUCAAGACUCAAACGUGGCAUUACUUACACUUUGGAGUUCAGGUUGGAAAAGUUUCACACAUUGCACAAUGACAUGAUUACCAUUAACAUUUUUCAUCAAUGGAACAGUGAUACGCUUCAUGGUAUUCACAACCUUAUAUUUUGUGAUUGGACAAAUGAUAUUCUCCAGCAUUAUCUGCAUAACCUGAGUUCUGCAGCAAGAAAAAGUUUUUUUAUGUAUCUCGAUCAUGAUUAAGAUUGUAUAUAUUUGACUCGCAAGAUAAAAUAUCAUGGCUAUAAUUUAAAACUUUGAUAGUAUUUACAUGCAUACCCAUGUUUGUCCAUGCACACACGUCUCAGCUUUCGAUCAUUCGAAAUAAUCAAGUUAAUAAUAUAAUUCACCUGCUCCCAGGUGAUACCUCUCCUUGCUUCACAAAUCUUUCGAAUCAAGUUGUUGCCAAAAGGAUGUGUCAUAAGCAAGUGUAAAUAAUCCUUCACUCCUGAGA